UUUUCCUACGGGAGGCAGCAGUAGGGAAUCUUCCACAAUGGGCGAAACCCUGAUGCAGCAAUGCCGCGUGGGUGAAGAAGCACUCCGGUGCGUAAAGCCCUGUCAGCAGGGAAGAAAAUGACAGUACCUGGACAAGAAGCCCCGGCUAACUACGUGCCAGCAGCCGCGGUAAUACGUAGGGGGCAAGCGUUAUCCGGAUUUACUGGGUGUAAAGGGAGCGCAGGCGGCGUGGCAAGUCAGAUGUGAAAACCCGGGGCCCAACCCCGGGAGUGCAUUUGAAACUGCCAUGCUGGAGUGCCGGAGAG
rnacentral:rRNA from 1 species